rnacentral:rRNA from 1 species
CUACGGAACUCCUACGGGAGGCAGCAGUGGGGAAUAUUGCACAAUGGGCGAAAGCCUGAUGCAGCGACGCCGCGUGAGGGAUGACGGCCUUCGGGUUGUAAACCUCUUUCAGUAGGGAAGAAGCGAAAGUGACGGUACCUGCAGAAGAAGCACCGGCUAACUACGUGCCAGCAGCCGCGGUAAUACGUAGGGUGCGAGCGUUAUCCGGAAUUAUUGGGCGUAAAGAGCUCGUAGGCGGUUUGUCGCGUCUGUCGUGAAAGUCCGGGGCUUAACCCCGGAUCUGCGGUGGGUACGGGCAGACUAGAGUGCAGUAGGGGAGACUGGAAUUCCUGGUGUAGCGGUGGAAUGCGCAGAUAUCAGGAGGAACACCGAUGGCGAAGGCAGGUCUCUGGGCUGUAACUGACGCUGAGGAGCGAAAGCAUGGGGAGCGAACAGGAUUAGAAACCCUGGUAGUCCUCUUCGA